AUCGGCGACUGCGACUAGAGAGAGCACUUUUGCGGCUAUACUUUUCACAUAUUGCUUACUAAAUUUUAAGUUGGAAUGAAGGAGUUAUUGGAUUUUGAAGUCAGUACAUGCAUUCUAAAGGUACUAAGUAAACCGAUUUACUAGUCGUUGUCUCUUGAGCUAUAUCUUGAGCAAUUUGACAAGGUUUUGGCUCAAAAUUUCAAGAAAUGUGUAAUUGCAUGUUAAUAAACUUUGUGCAUAAGUUUUAUGACAUUUGGAGUUCGGGUUUUUGAGAUAUAAGGAAAAUAGUUUUUUGGAUGCUUGUAAAUUAGUGUUUAGAGUGCCUACUAGGGUUUCUUAGAUGCCAGAAGAUCAGGACUGAAUUUGCAGUUGGUUUUUUUUGUGAUAAAAGCAAGGAUGAAUUCUACCUAUUUUGUAAUUUUGAAACAAAUUGAAUAGUUAGAUCAAUAGUUAUGAUUUUCUAAAGUUUAGAGGCAAGAAAACCCUUCAUGGUAAAAAUAUGUUUUGAAGGGAUUUUGUUAUAUUUGGAGUUUUAUACAAAAAUAAAGGAAUUUUGGAAGCUAAGACAAGAAUCAUAUAAAGGUUUAUGCUACACUCUCUAUAGCUAGAUACCUAGUAUAUUCUCAGAUAGCAAAUCAUGCCAUACGACAUCAUAAUCCUAUAAUAACCGCUUUUAAUAACUGAAUCAAUCAUCAGUCCUCCUAAACUGACUAUUCUAUGGAAUAUUAGUUUAUUUUAUUAAUAUCUUACAUAAACAAAUUAAUAUCUAUUCUACAUAAAGAGAUGGAGAACCAACAACCAAUAGAUUCAAUUC
rnacentral:lncRNA from 1 species